UAACAAAAAUCCACCUUUUAAUUGAAGCCUUGUUCCGCUGCAGUAAGGGGUUCUUAAUUAAACUCUCUUUCAAAUCAAGCGCAGUGUUUAUCUAUAAGAAAUGAUUGGCAUGCCCGGCAAGGUGUAUUCUUUUCAACGAAGUCAACCAGUGGAGCAUUCAACAACGUUCUCUUCUAAUCUGAUCUGUUUCGUUUAUCGUUAUGAAGAAGUUCUCAUCUUCGUUGGUUUUCCUGUGCCUCACUGUCUCCGUUUUGCUGUUGGCUUGUUCUCAUGAUGGCGAAGCACUUGCUCCCCUUCCCCCGGGAACGGUAAACGGUGUUAAAAGAAGACAAAUGGGAAAGACCGAGUUGUUUCGUUCCCGAAGGAGCAUCUGUGAGGCCGCGCGAGCUCUGAAUUGCGACUCCAGAGCGGAAGACGAACAAGUCUAGAGUGCAACACCUGACAGCAGAAACCGACCAGAGUUAUGGAAAACGACCGCACUAAACCAAAUUAAAACUAACUAACGUGGCUUGAAUUGUCAAUAAAUAGAUGGAAAUUAAUCCACUUGUCUAUGUUUAAAUGCUAACCUUCGGUGUUAUAUGCCACCUGUUCCUGUUUUUGUCGUUGUACGUUAGUUUGAAAGCUACUUUCCUAUAACGGCUUCCUCUCUAGAACGACUAGAUUACGGCUAACCCUCGGUUAAGGCAACGGAAAAAUUCUUUUCUGAGAUUGGAACGAGAAUGUGUGGCAAAACGCUGCUCAUAAGCAAAUGUCCAAAGUGCGCGAAUUAAAAUUUUCCAGUUCCACCCAACAGGCCCUUACACGGCUUCUGGUACUUUCCAAAGACGAUCACGCGUCGCAUAACCAGCACGCUACUCAAAUGAAAUUACAACAUUUGAGUUUGGUUUAUUUUGCGGGGCGUUUACGAACGAUUUGUGCCAUCGCUUACGCCAUUUCAUCACGUCAAACGCGAUCGUUUGACUGCGCUUUGUCAGUUUCGAGUAAGAAUUUUAAUUUGAGGUGGAAAGUGUACUGAGGGGAAAAGGAAAGUUUUCAGUGAAUUUCACUAUCCGCGUUGAUGGGUAAAGAGAAGAGGAGGCUCUAUGCUGGAUAAAUUAAGUGUGCCGUUAACAAAAUGUUUUUUUUUUCUUUGGAGUAUGAAUAUUAACUUAAAGUUUAAUUUCCUUGCGUUGUCUGCGGAUUUGAAUUGGUUAGAACAUUCCCGAGGAAUAAUUUCCAUCGCGCGGGGGUUCCAGGAACAAAACCCAACUGCUCGAAGGCUACGUGUCUCACUAAGCGAAAACAGUUACAAACUUAACAUUAUUAAAGUUUUCUUCAGUUGCUUAAUCACUUUAUUAACAAUAAAGCCAUGCCAACAUUAACUUGCUCUAAAACUUUGACCGCUAGUCUAUAUUACGGGUCUUUUUCAGAGCAAAAGACUUUACCCUACGCAGGUGCCAUUUCACGAAACGAAUAUUCAUAGUUUCACGAAGAAGCGCCCAAAGACAACGUCUUAGAAUAUUGCUUCUUUCACAGCCAAAGUCUUAAGAUAAAUGGUUGUAGCACGAGUUUAUAUUUUAUUUGAGCAUCCUUAAGGAGUUUAUAUGAUGCUUUAAGGUUAGUAUUGUGGAGCGGUUUUCAGAACUCUUGGGUUCAUGUUCUCGUCUUGCAGGAGUUAUUCGCAGUUCAAUCGUCGAGCAGCGCGACAAAUUCCUCUCUUGAAACUAUUCCCAGGGUUACAGGCCUGUAAAAAGAAAAGAUAUGAAUCGUUAAGAAGACGGACGAAACGCGUGUGGUCAAUUAAAACUCGAGAAUUUUCUAACAAUGAAGGUGUUCCUUUUAGCUCUUUUUUUUUCGGAAAUCCGUCUCGUGCGUUUAGCUGUUGAAAAGACUAGGAUGAAUCUAAAAUGACGAUAAAAACUGAAGUGAUAAAGGCGUUCUGAGAUCGGAUUACAAGUGACAUUGGAAUUUUAAAUUGUCUAAUAAAAUUGUUAUAGGAAAGUGAUUGGUCUUACUAAAAAUGACAUUAAGGCAGGGUUUUUCCCUGGCAAAACGAGGUGUGUGAGCGCGGAGCGCUAUGAACAUGUUUUCCGUAGAUCUUGGAUUGCACUAUUUGGUUUUGUAAUUAUCCUCAAGGUUAAGUCCUGAAUAUCUCAAAAAAA